UCAAGCUAGUUCUCCUGCGACCUAGACCUAGGUUUCAGAACUGGGGCAAUGAUACCACGGGAAGGCAGGUGUGAUGUUGUCUUCUCCCAAGGACCUUCUCCAACCACACUACUCGAAGUGUGUCCAGAAUUGGUGGGCUCUUGGUCUCGCUGACUUCAAGAAUGAAGCCGUGGACCCUCGCGAUUAAACAAGUGCAACUUUCCCAAUCUCACACAACUACUUGUGGAGCCAGGAUUCCAUACAGGCAAUCUUCCACUGAGGAAGAAGAAGAGAGAAGAUUGAAGAGGUGGACCGGCUGCACAUUUCAUCAUGAAGAUUUAUCCGGAGGUUGGGGUGUAACAUUUAUGAUCUGUCUGGAGAAGAACAGAGAAGGUUUAGGACUAUUACUUAAGAGAGAAGGUGUGAUGCAACAGAGAAAGUAGAACAAGGUAGUUUUAAUUUUUUUCCUUACAAGAGAAAUAAUCUCCACUCUAGAAGAAUCACAACACAGAUGCUUAUCAGGGAGAUAAGUUCCAGAUAGAAGA